rnacentral:lncRNA from 1 species
ACAGCUCCUCUCCAAUCCUCUUCACGUCUGCCAUCGCUGCACCUCCUCCGGCGCCGCCCCCACCUCUCGACGACCGCCACCUCUCGGCGACCUCCAUCUCUCGACGACCUCCAUCAGCCUGCUCCACCUCUCGAGUCUCGAGACACAGAUAUGGAUUUAAGGUACAAAACUUUUCUUGAUGGAUGGGAAAUAAAUCCAAACGUGAAAUGUGUUCUGGUUGAGGGAAGUUCAUCAUGUUCAUUUCUGUAAUCUGCUUAAGACAUGAAUGGAUUAUUUCAGCAACUUGCAGAAGUUAAAAUAAACAGUCUUCUUCAUGCAAACUGCAGAGGUUUGGUCCACCUCUUCAGCUGCAGAUGUCUGCAGAUGUGGUCCGCAGACUGUAGACGUUUUACCUCUGAAAAAACAAACAGCACCUAAAAUUGUAACUAAAUUAUUUAACUUUAAAUGUCAGCAAAACCCGACUUGCACAGAUCAAAACAUGGUAUUAUAAUAAAAAAUAGGCCAAUGCAAGUUAAUUUCAAUUCAAAAUGCAUGAACUCUGCCAUCAAAAUUUCCAGUUAACCCAAUGUCAUCACAGACGACAUGAAAAAGAAUUUUACUAUUAAAGAAAACAAGAUUAUCAUAUCAGAAGACACAUUACACAACAUGCGUUGACUCCAGGUUGACCAGAUAGAAUACGACACCAAAACUGAACUCUUCUACCUAACCUCUUCUAGUAACACCUUUGUCAGGACUUGGUCUAUGUCCCGUAUAUAUGUCUGUGAACCGGCUGGGCAUCAAACGUCUUAACCACUUGCAACCACGGUUUGUCUACAACCAACACCGAACCUUUUGAAAGAUGGCCAACGUAUAAGACAGGUUCUCUAAACGCACAAAAUUCAAAAUUGUUCCUACCGCCAUUUUUGUUGUCGCAAUCGUGCCCCAUCAACUUACGUUUCAUUUUCCCGCUCAUUGGACUGUAUAGCUUCUUUAAUGUCGAAUCAUAACCUUUCACUUUCUCAUAAUCUUCAUCUCGACCAAUAGGCAUUCCAAAGUCAAUGAAGCACAUCGCCCUGAAAAGUAUAAACUAGAUUAGAAAACAUGAUUGGGUAGUUUUAUUUUACAUUUUUACCCUCUAUUCACUCAUAAAAACAUACCUGGCACUGUAAAUGAUAACCGCUGUUGAAUUUGAAGAUGGCGGAAACGAAAGCCCAAUAACCUCUCCCGGAAACUCCUGAUAUCUCCGUGGCAAAACAAAUGUGUUGUGUCCAGACCAAUCACCUAACUUCUUAGCUUCCACAUCAAAAAGGUACACUUGAUUUGAUGACGUGGAUAAUAUUAGCAAAUUGCUAUUUUUGGGAGUAAACCCUCCGGCUGUAACAGAUGCACCAUCUAAUCUUGAUAUAAACCAGUGCUGCUUUUGUGUCGCUAGAUUAAAUAUAUAGACAUCGCCAAAACAGUUGACGGCAGCCAGCCACUGUCCAUCGGGACUAGUAAACAUUUUUGUUAUUGGAGGCUGAGUGGGUGGCAAGUGCUCGUCACACUCCUUACGACAGGGGGUAAACCUAUGACUUACUUUCAGGCUCCCAAGAUCUACAACCUGAAAUAUUAUUAUAAGAUUAUAUUACAAUCUGUAAUACAUGUCAAGAAAAAGUUUUUAGAGUCGUAGAUCUCAGUGGGUGCAGCCUCUCUAUCUUCGAGAUAGAGGAAAGGUUCGCCCCCAUACCACCCUCCCCAAACACUACCAAUAGCUUCGCUAUGAGUGGAUUUUACUGGGUACGUUUGUUUGUUCAACACAUAGACUGUGGUGUAUAAAGCCAAAAAUGAAGCUAGAGCUUCACGUACACGUGACGUUUCUCCAUGUACAACUAAACAAGCUUUAUAUGCAACUAAAAGCUGCAUUUGUCUCAUCUCUUUUACAUAUUAGCGUUUUUAUCAUAUCCCACUCGUACAAACUCCAAUCUUGACAGACUUUGACCUAGAUGUUCAUCACUUCUUUAUCACCUAGUGUGCCUCGCAUUUUUAAACCAAGAUAUAGACACACAUACAUAUAAAUAUACAUAUACACACCUAGUAGAAGGUUCAGUGGAGAACCGACUCACACAAACUCCGAAUAGACUCAUUCCAGCAGCAUGGGAACUAGCUCGUCAAACCCUAUAAUAUAUAUGUGUACAUAUUUAGGGUUUAGCUUUUACGAUUUAGGUUCUUUUAGAAUUUAGGUUUAAGUGUGUUAUAUUAGGGUUUUGAUUUAGGGUUUAGCUGUUACGGUUUAUAGUUCAGAUAUUACAGUUUAGCUUAUGGUUUAGCUUUAGGGUUUAGGUUAAGGGUUUAGAGUUGGGUUUGACGAGCCGGUUGCAAUGCAGCUGGAAUGAACCUAAUCGGAGUUCUUUUGAGUCCUUUCCCCACUUUUUCAGUGUUCCCCAUUGAACCCAAGUCAUAGUUGUCAAUAACGAGCGUAGCGAUCGCUAUCGUUCGCUACGUAGCAUCUAGGUCUAGGCUCGCUAUUAGGGUUGUAGCAAUUAAACAUGCAAAAUGGCAGCGAUAGAUAGCGAUAAUAGCGACAGUUAUUAUUAUUUUUUUAAAUAUAAAUAGCAAUUAAAUAUAGCUAUAAAAAAGAUGGAUUUUGGGUUUUUGUUAAAUAUACAUCAUACAUGUAAAAUAGCAUAUUUUGAUAUAAUAUACAUAUAAAUUUUCUAAAAAAAUUUCUAGUGUGUCGCUAUUUAUAAAAUAGCGGCCGUCCGCUGUUUAUCGCUAUUCGCUAUGUAGCAUAAAGGCACCUUAUCACUAUUCGCCAUCAACAACUAUGAACCCAAGCCUACACACAUAUACAUAAAAAUACCUACACACAUAUACAUAGAGAGAGAGAGAGAGAGAGAAAGCGAUUGCUUACAUAUAUCAUUCCAUCAUGUCCCGAAAUCAUCAGACGUGAAGAAUCAAAAGUAAAGACCAUGGAAUGAGCAAACGGUAAAGACGAAGGAAGUUUUCUUUUACUCAUAGACCACCUACUUUUUCCGGCUCCGUUUUUCUUCAAUUCAAAAAGACAAGGUUUCAAAUCAUCAGAAUAAGCAAAAAGACUUCCGGAAGGUGAAAUAGAGCUGCAAACGAUCUUUCUCAAACCCUUGCUCUUAACUCGAGCCACCAAAUCAGUAGUUGAGACACCGCCAGAUGGACCAGAAACAUCUCUUUUCACGUUAACCGUAAAUAUAUCUAUCCAGCGUGAAGCCUGAACCAAAAGUAGAUAAGUAAACCCAUCAACUGUACUGCACACUAAUUGCAUAGGUGGUCUUUGUGGUGCAGGGCAUAUAUCAUGUGGAGCGAACUUGGUAAACUCGUUAGCAGAAUAUGCAAAUAGCUUAGUGUCAUCACCAGCUGAUAUAAGCAUCGGAACUCCCGUAUGGGCCCACUUGUUGUAACUGAAAUCAACAGCUUUAUCCCUAAUACGAGCUCUUUUCGACUUCUCUUCAGGAUAAGAGAAAACGGAAGCUCUCUCUGACCCACUUUCAGAACAAAUUUUGGGGAUAUGUGGUUUGCCUUGAUGAUGAUGAUGAAGAUGAUUGUUCUACAGUUGUUUCCAGCAUCAUUGUUCCAACAUCGUUGAAAGCUCCGAUUAUUUAAAGCAGCUCUUUAUCAAGCAAGUUGAGGAUUAAGUGUAACGCCCUACGUUCCGCUACUUAGUCAAUACUAGCGAGUCUCGUUAUACUUCCCACCUUGUGAUGCUUAAUGAAACUAUUUGAGUCUUAACCAUGUUAAACUAUGUGAAACUUUUACUCUAUGUGUUGAUUUCGUGAUGCUUUAAUACAUGAACGAUAUGAAUCUUGACUCUUGU